UUUGAUCCUGGCUCAGAAUGGACGCUGGCGGCAUGCCUAACACAUGCAAGUCGAACGAAGGCUUCGGCCUUAGUGGCGCACGGGUGCGUAACGCGUGGGAAUCUGCCCUUGGGUUCGGAAUAACAGUUAGAAAUGACUGCUAAUACCGGAUGAUGUCGUAAGACCAAAGAUUUAUCGCCCAAGGAUGAGCCCGCGUAGGAUUAGCUAGUUGGUGAGGUAAAAGCUCACCAAGGCGACGAUCCUUAGCUGAUCUGAGAGGAUGAUCAGCCACACUGGGACUGAGACACGGCCCAGACUCCUACGGGAGGCAGCAGUGGGGAAUAUUGGACAAUGGGCGAAAGCCUGAUCCAGCAAUGCCGCGUGAGUGAUGAAGGCCUUAGGGUUGUAAAGCUCUUUUACCCGGGAUGAUAAUGACAGUACCGGGAGAAUAAGCCCCGGCUAACUCCGUGCCAGCAGCCGCGGUAAUACGGAGGGGGCUAGCGUUAUUCGGAAUUACUGGGCGUAAAGCGCACGUAGGCGGCUUUGUAAGUUAGAGGUGAAAGCCCAGAGCUCAACUCUGGAAUUGCCUUUAAGACUGCAUCGCUUGAAUCAUGGAGAGGUGAGUGGAAUUCCGAGUGUAGAGGUGAAAUUCGUAGAUAUUCGGAAGAACA
rnacentral:rRNA from 1 species